UGCCUGGUGGUCCAGUAGUUAGGACUCUGUGCUUCCACUUCAGAGAACACGGGUUCGAUCCCUGGUUGGGAAA
rnacentral:tRNA from 1 species